ACCUUCCAUGGUGUAGUUAGUAGCACCUUGGAUUAGUAAUUAUAAGCCACAGGUUCAAGUCCUGGUCGGGGUA